CAUUGCGGAAGGGAGUGUGGUACUAUAUAUCGAUACAAACACUAACAAUAAUUAUUCAUUAUAAAACUCAAUGUAUCAGUGCAUUAUAUUUUACUUAAUUUAAAUAUCAUACUGUAGUUUUUAUUUUUUAUUUGUAAAAUGGUAUAUUUUAUUUGUAUUAUCCACGGAUCGGAUAAAAUAUUAUAAUAAGGUUAAGACUGAGAUUAUUCGUACUUUUAUAAUAUUUGGUGCCUCGCUCAAAGAUAAUUGUUUACUAAAGAUGCCCGACGAAGAAAAAAGAAAAUAUUUAAAAAUCAUCAAAAGUUUAAAAAAACCUUACCGAUCUCCAAAAGCACCAAUCAUGGCAACCACGGCGUAUGGUGUCCAAGAAGCUAUGAAUAAGCAACAAAUUGUGAUAGCUGCUUUUGCAAUUCUU